rnacentral:rRNA from 1 species
AGAGUUUGAUCCUGGCUCAGAACGAACGCUGGCGGUAUGCCUAACACAUGCAAGUCGAACGAGGUGUAGCAAUACAUCUAGUGGCGGACGGGUGAGGAAUACAUAGGAAUUUGCCUUUAGGUGGGGGAUAGCCCAGGGAAACUUGGAGUAAUACCGCAUGAUGUCGUGAGACCAAAGUCGGGGACCGCAAGGCCUGGCGCCUUUAGAGAAGCCUAUGUCGGAUUAGCUUGUUGGUGAGGUAACGGCUCACCAAGGCGACGAUCCGUAACUGGUCUGAGAGGACGAUCAGUCACACUGGAACUGAGACACGGUCCAGACUCCUACGGGAGGCAGCAGUGGGGAAUAUUGGACAAUGGGCGCAAGCCUGAUCCAGCAAUACCGCGUGUGUGAAGAAGGCCUUCGGGUUGUAAAGCACUUUAAGCAGGGAAGAAAAAACUCAAACUAAUAUUUUGAGUCUUGACGGUACCUGAAGAAUAAGCACCGGCUAACUCUGUGCCAGCAGCCGCGGUAAUAC